AUUGAACGCUGGCGGCAUGCCUUACACAUGCAAGUCGAACGGUAACAGGUCUUCGGAUGCUGACGAGUGGCGAACGGGUGAGUAAUGUAUCGGAACGUGCCCAGUCGUGGGGGAUAACUGCUCGAAAGAGCAGCUAAUACCGCAUACGACCUGAGGGUGAAAGCGGGGGAUCGCAAGACCUCGCGCGAUUGGAGCGGCCGAUAUCAGAUUAGGUAGUUGGUGGGGUAAAGGCUCACCAAGCCAACGAUCUGUAGCUGGUCUGAGAGGACGACCAGCCACACUGGGACUGAGACACGGCCCAGACUCCUACGGGAGGCAGCAGUGGGGAAUUUUGGACAAUGGGCGCAAGCCUGAUCCAGCCAUGCCGCGUGCGGGAAGAAGGCCUUCGGGUUGUAAACCGCUUUUGUCAGGGAAGAAAUCUUCUGGGCUAAUACCCUGGGAGGAUGACGGUACCUGAAGAAUAAGCACCGGCUAACUACGUGCCAGCCGCCGCGGUAAAAC
rnacentral:rRNA from 1 species